UCAGCCUUCAUAAAACAUCAGAGCAUACAUACAGGUGAAAAGCCAUGUGAGUGUGAUACAUGUGGGAAAGCCUUCUAUGUGAACUCAGCGAUUAUUAAUCACCAGAGGGUUCAUUCUGGAGAAAAGCUGUAUGAGUGUGGGGAAUGUGGAAAAGCAUUCAGUUGGAGUCGAAUGGAGUCAUCACCAGAGAAUCGGUACUGGAGAAAAACCCUAUGAGUGUGAUGACUGUGGGAAAGCUGAAGAUGCCCUAAUCUUACCAAACACCAGAAAGGACAUGCCAAGAGAAAGUGUCGACAGUGAUGUACCUGAGGAAGGUAUUCUAGAUGUCUUUGGUUGCAUCAAAAGAAUAUGACAAAAUAUAUCAACAUGCCUUCCCUUGAAAUACUGAAGAAAAGUCACUGGAAACAGCUCUAUCAUUGUAUGCAAACCUCUGAAGUCACCUGUUCUCUCUCUUUAAAAUUCAGCUUUACAACUCAAGGUGGUUUUUGUUUUUUGUUUUUUUUAAUAUGAAUCAUUUUCCA
rnacentral:lncRNA from 1 species